CCUACGGGAGGCAGCAGUGGGGAAUAUUGCGCAAUGGGCGAAAGCCUGACGCAGCGACGCCGCGUGAGGGAUGAAGGUCUUCGGAUCGUAAACCUCUGUCAGCAGGGAAGCACGGUCACUGUGCUAAUCAGCAGUGAAUUGACGGUACCUGCAAAGGAAGCACCGGCUAACUCCGUGCCAGCAGCCGCGGUAAUACGGAGGGUGCGAGCGUUAAUCGGAAUUACUGGGCGUAAAGCGCUCGUAGGCGGUAUGUCAAGUCAAGGGUGAAAUCCCCGCGCUCAACGUGGGAACAGCCUUUGAAACUGGCAAACUGGAGUGUGUGAGAGGAUAGUGGAAUUCCAGGUGUAGGAGUGAAAUGCGUAGAUAUCUGGAGGAACAUCAGUGGCGAAGGCGACUAUCUGGCACAUAACUGACGCUGAGGAGCGAAAGCGUGGGUAGCAAACAGGAUUAGAUACCCUGGUAGUC
rnacentral:rRNA from 1 species